GACGAACGCUGGCGGUGUGCUUAACACAUGCAAGUCGAACGGAAAGGCCCUGCUUGCAGGGUAUUCGAGUGGCCAACGGGUGAGUAACACGUGGGUGAUCUGCCCUCCACUUCGUGAUAAGCCUGGGAAACUGGGUCUAAUACCGGAUAGGAGCCAUUUUUAGUGUGUGGGUUGGAAAGUUUUUUCGGUGUAGGAUGAGUUCGCGGCCUAUUAGCGUGUUGGUGGGGUAAUGGGCUACCAAGGCGGCGACGGGUAGCUGGCCUGAGGGGGUGGACGGCGACCCUGGGUCUGAGGUGCGGCCCAGACGCCUACGGGAGGCAGCAGGGGGGAAGAUUGCACAAGGGGCGCCAGCCUGGUGCAGCGGCGCCGCGUGGGGGAUGACGGCCUUCGUGUUGAAAAAUCCUUUCGCUAGGGACGAAGCUUUUUGUGACGGUACCUAGAGAAGAAGCACCGGCUAACUACGUG
rnacentral:rRNA from 1 species